AUCCAUCUGACGAGUCCUAAAUAGGACGAAACGCCCACCUUGGAU
rnacentral:hammerhead_ribozyme from 1 species